GAUGAACGCUGGCGGCGUGCCUAAUACAUGCAAGUCGAGCGAACGGACGAGAAGCUUGCUUCUCUGAUGUUAGCGGCGGACGGGUGAGUAACACGUGGAUAACCUACCUAUAAGACUGGGAUAACUUCGGGAAACCGGAGCUAAUACCGGAUAAUAUUUUGAACCGCAUGGUUCAAAAGUGAAAGACGGUCCUGCUGUCACUUAUAGAUGGAUCCGCGCUGCAUUAGCUAGUUGGUAAGGUAACGGCUUACCAAGGCAACGAUGCAUAGCCGACCUGAGAGGGUGAUCGGCCACACUGGAACUGAGACACGGUCCAGACUCCUACGGGAGGCAGCAGUAGGGAAUCUUCCGCAGUGGGCGAAAGCCUGACGGAGCAACGCCGCGUGAGUGAUGAAGGUCUUCGGAUCGUAAAACUCUGUUAUUAGGGAAGAACAUAUGUGUAAGUAACUGUGCACAUCUUGACGGUACCUAAUCAGAAAGCCACGGCUAACUACGUG
rnacentral:rRNA from 1 species